rnacentral:tRNA from 1 species
GCGGGUGUAGCACAACGGUAGUGCAGCAGCCUUCCAAGCUGAGUACGAGGGUCCGACUCCCUUCACCCGCUCCA